GGCCAUGGUCGUCAAGGAAACGAUCUGGAAAGGCAGGAAAACAAGUGCUGGGUUCAUGUGCUCUUUUGGAAUUUCAGUAUAUUUCCGAGGUGGUUGCGUUUGUGUUUGUGUGUGUUUUACCUGGGUUGAACAGGUCGGGUUUGUCCCAGUGUUGGGGGUCGUGAUGAAUCGACCACAUGUUGACCAAGACACGAGUCCCACGACGGACAGGAUGACCUCCAAUACUGCAGGAGAGGGAGAGGGGCAGGCCAACCUGCUGUCAGUCAUGGCGGUGUGUGGGAUCAGCACAGGGCUAACUGGACGGAUCCUCAUCCCCUCGUUGAUGACACAGUCCAGCAGAUAGGCCAGGAUCCACAGCAGUGUGGUGGAUGUCGUCUCAACUCCGGCCCCAAAAGCCUCCGCCGCAGUCAUCAGGACAUGGUCAUCUGUUAUCCUCUCAUCCUCCGACCCAGACGGUUUCGGACCCCGGCCGCU